UUAGUUGGCUAACGAUGGUUUUGGGAAACGCACCCCAGGUCAUUCAUGUUGAGUUCACAUCAUCUACAAUGGAAAAUAACAGCAUUAUAUUAAAAUAAGAAAUUAAUUAGAGCAAUUAGUCUCUCUGGCUGCCAUCAUUUAUUUUCGGCAACACACCAGCAGGCAGCAGUAGCAUACCUUUUUCUUAAACUUGUAAGCAGAAAUAGCCUUACGUAACAUAUGCUAGGACAAUGAGUACGCUUACAUGGACAUCAAUAAUCCGAUUUUAAUAUAAUUUAGACAAUGCGCUGAUUAAGAUUCUACCAUUUGAAUAUUCGGUUUUACAGCCUGAUUUCACAAGGAAACAUAACUAUUUUAGGUUUUGUCAGUUUAGUGGCUAAUUCAUACUAAUAUUUACAGAGUUCAGUCAAACAGAAAUGUACAAUUUUUAAAAUGAGGCAUGGCACCAAACCCCCACCCCUAAACCCAACCGUCAUGGCAAGAUGAGCAAAUAAUACUAAAUUGUACCAAUGAGAUUGUUCAAAUUCAUAAGAAUUAGCCACUAAAUUAAAAGUUACGAAUUGCUGUGAGUAGCGUCGAUAAUUCUUAUAAGUUGUUAGACUGGACUUCACACGAACAAUCAGUAUAGGCGACCGAGAAAUAUCUCUCGAUUGUCCAAACUUCUAGAUCCCACUGCAAACCAGAGAAGAGAAAACGUAAGCGCAUAGCAGAAGUUGGAAGCAACCGCUGACAUGCACGUUUCUGUUGCUCCGUCUGUGGAGCAAAGAUGAAUGUUCUUCAGCUGUGUGUGUGUGAUGCAGAUUAAACAACAUCAGCACAGCGAAGAAACCCAGACGCUCUCACCAGAUCCUGCCAUGGAGAUGAUAAAACUCUGUCCUCUCUGUUUCCUCAGAGUUUUCCAGCCCUCUGGGCACAGGGUCAUUCAUCCGGACCUGACGAGCAGCUGACAUGAUCAAGAGAACAUGACUCAUAUGUAGCUCUGACACCAUAAAAAAAAAGUCUCUGAAAUCAUUAAUAUGCAUGCCUCAGGCUGCGUUUGAUAAGCCAAACGUGUUCUAGGCAACGACAGCACGAGGCAUGUUUCAAACUCGCCUCAGGACACAAAAUGCAAGAUUUACAGAUUACACAUGUAUUCAUCUCCACUCGGAAGAGGCGUAAGGUAUGUUUAGUUACAUCUUUUGUUAAUUUAUUGUGUUUAUUGUAAAAUUUGAUGCGUAUGUUUCAGCAAACAAUUAUAGAUUGCUGAAACGAGUCAAAUCACUCAGCUCAACUGCAAUUGUUUAUGCAGCGGUUGAUAAUUCCUGGCCUUUUCAUUGUCUGAACAGGGUUUAUCGCUAAGGAAUUUUUCUACUGGUCCAAUCUGGCCAGUGGUUCAGAUCUUUACUUGUCUUGCCAAAAUU